rnacentral:rRNA from 1 species
UACGGAGGGUGCCAGCGUUGUCCGGAUUUAUUGGGUUUAAAGGGUGCGUAGGCGGUCUUUUAAGUCAGUGGUGAAAUCCUCCAGCUUAACUGGAGAACUGCCAUUGAUACUGAAAGACUUGAGUACAGACGAGGUAGGCGGAAUUGACAGUGUAGCGGUGAAAUGCAUAGAUAUUGUCAAGAACACCGAUUGCGAAGGCAGCUUACUAGACUGUAACUGACGCUGAGGCACGAAAGUGCGGGGAUCAAACAGG